AGAGUUUGAUCAUGGCUCAGGAUGAACGCUAGCGGCAGGCCUAAUACAUGCAAGUCGAACGCAGGUAGCAAUACCUGAGUGGCGCACGGGUGCGUAACGCGUAGGCAAUCUGCCUACUUCUGGGGGAUAGCCCGCCGAAAGGUGGAUUAAUACCGCAUAAGACCACAGAGCGGCAUCGUUUAGUGGUUAAAGAAAUUCGGAAGUAGAUGAGCCUGCGUGCCAUUAGCUAGUUGGCGGGGUAAGGGCCCACCAAGGCGACGAUGGCUAGGGGAGCUGAGAGGCCGAUCCCCCACACUGGCACUGAGAUACGGGCCAGACUCCUACGGGAGGCAGCAGUAGGGAAUAUUGGGCAAUGGAGGAGACUCUGACCCAGCCAUGCCGCGUGACGGAUGAAGGCCUUCUGGGUUGUAAACGUCUUUUGACCGGGAAGAAAAAACCGCUGCGGCGGGAAUCGACGGUACCGGUUGAAUAAGCACCGGCUAACUCCGUGCCAGCAGCCGCGGUAAUACGGAGGGUGCAAGCGUUGUCCGGAUUUAUUGGGUUUAAAGGGUGCGUAGGUGGCCCCGCAAGUCCGUGGUGAAAGCCUCUUGCUUAACAAGAGAACUGCCAUGGAUACUACGGGGCUUGAGUCCAGGCGAGGUUGGCGGAAUGGAUGGUGUAGCGGUGAAAUGCAUAGAUACCAUCCAGAACCCCGAUUGCGUAGGCAGCUGACUAGGCUGGUACUGACACUGAGGCACGAAAGCGUGGGGAGCGAACAGGAUUAGAUACCCCCGUAGUCC
rnacentral:rRNA from 1 species